AUUGAACGCUGGCGGCAUGCCUUACACAUGCAAGUCGAACGGCAGCACGGGAGCAAUCCUGGUGGCGAGUGGCGAACGGGUGAGUAAUAUAUCGGAACGUGCCCAGUCGUGGGGAUAACGUAGCGAAAGCUACGCUAAUACCGCAUACUAUCUAUGGAUGAAAGCGGGGGAUCGCGAGACCUCGCGCGAUUGGAGCGGCCGAUAUCAGAUUAGGUAGUUGGUGAGGUAAAGGCUCACCAAGCCGACGAUCUGUAGCUGGUCUGAGAGGACGACCAGCCACACUGGGACUGAGACACGGCCCAGACUCCUACGGAGGCAGCAGUGGGGAAUUUUGGACAAUGGGCGCAAGCCUGAUCCAGCAAUGCCGCGUGCAGGAUGAAGGCC
rnacentral:rRNA from 1 species